ACCAAAGGCUGAAGCACGCAGGUUAGCUGUUUGAGCACUGGGGCUCUACCACAACAACCUACGCCACACAGCCUCAGGUUGGCUGCACAGCCACUAGCCCAGGAUUCCAGCUGAGGCUGGAACCAUCUGCCCUCCAAGACUCAGCCAGGAGUCCUGCCUCAAAGUUCCUGGUCACAGCAGGCUUCCAACAGCUGGAGAAAGACCCAAGAUUCCUGAAGAACAAAACUGCACAGAACAGAUCACCCUGUGAAAGAGGACAGUCGUUCCAUGAGGGUGAGCUGCACCCGGGGCAGGAGUGGUCAGUCGGGAGGAACCAGAGGGAGUUCCUAAAGCAAUGGCAUUGAUAAUGAUGACAGAGGUGAGGGCUUCUAAGAACCUCUCAGAAGAGCGAGAA
rnacentral:lncRNA from 1 species